rnacentral:ncRNA from 1 species
ACUCUAAUCUGGCAGUGUAGGGAGACAUAAGAGAUGUGAAAUAAGUGGGAGAUAUUGUUCUUUCGGGUUCAUUAUCAAUGAACCGGGUUCGGGUAUCGGGUUCAUGGUCAAUGAAAUACCACUACUCUUACUGUUUCCUUACUUACUUGAUUAAAUGGAACGUGUAUCAUUACUUAGCCAUUAUGCGGAUAUAUCUAUAUAGCUUAUGGUAUUGCGUUCUGAUGCAAGCCUCUUGAUCAAAGUAUUAAAGAGUUUGUAAAAAAAUUUUAAUGAUAUUGUUGGGCAUUUCGCUGCUUAGUCAAUCAAUAUUCAAAAUUUGAUCCAAUUCAAGGACAUUGCCAGGUAGGGAGU